rnacentral:piRNA from 1 species
UUAUGUGGGUUCUGAUUAC